ensembl:lncRNA
GAUAAAAUCUGAUAAGUCAGGAAGUAAACUCACUGGCAAUUUUCAUAUAACUAACCCAGAGAUAGAGUUAAAAAAACACAGGCUUGUUUUAAUCAGUCCACUUUCCACUGCAUGUCUCGAUCUCCUUUCACGAGAGACUUGAGUACACACCCUCCCAGGUCACAUUGGCGGGUUCCACAUCGGCGUAGCCUUGGCUAGUGUAGUUUAUGUACACGUCUGUGUCAGGCUGUGGAAGAUCUCCCCUAGUGUAAACAGAAAUAUUAUCUGUGAAUAGCUUGUAGCAAGAGUUAAAGUGCAUGACUGAAGUGUGCAUGAUUCUUCUCUCAAGACUUACGUUGGUGUGAUUUCAGGUCCAGGAACAUCUUAAAGAAAAAGGAAAAAAAAGAGUCACAAAACAUUUUAAUUCAUACUGAUUAUGGCACUCAUUGCCCUCCAUACUUGUAGCCCUCUAUACAAGAAGAGCUCAGAGAUACCUUUAACUGCUGGAGUGCUGGAGGUGGUCACUGUUCCACUGGUCCUUUGGAAGCCCAGCCAGAAAAAAAUAACAGCAGCGAUGACGAUGAUCAAGAUCAGAAGAGAAAAGACGAAGGCUGUUAUUCCUAAAUUCUCUCCCACUGUUGGGAGUUGAGGAAAGAGAAAAGAGACAUUAAGACUUGCAACUUCACAGCCAGAUGAUGCACACAGCAUAAAUAAAAGAUUAAUGAAUCCAGUCAGUCAUGAUUGCUAUCCAUUGUAUGAUAAUCAUUUUACAGUUCGCUAUUUCAGUUUAAAAGUGAAAGCCUUAAAGAUUUUUUCCAGGUUUUUAUGGAAUAAAUAUAAAUUGCUCAAAACACAAGUAAAUACACCUAAAAUUUAUUAACAUUAAUAAAUUGUCGAGUAUUUAAUUAAAUGUACCAUUCAAAUUAUUAUUUUUUCUUCAUUUAUUUAUCUACAUAAAUAUAUAUUUAUGUCCUAUUUAUGCAAUUCUAAUAUUUAUUUUUUAUUUUUUAAAUAAGCAGAUUCGAUCAUCCUUAUUUUAGUAAGUUUAGGGUGUGAACAAACACAUAACCAACCUGUGGUUUGUGUUGAAAUGAUGUAAACUGUGUGGGUUUGGUUUGCGCAGUUGACAACUGAAGAACAGCAGCGGUACUCUCCACUUUGCUCUGGCUUGGUCAGGAUCAGUUCCCUACUGUUUCCCUCUUUUUCCCAGGUCUGAUUUCGCAGGCGUACCCAUGACCAAGUCCCAGUCACUGAUAUUAUGGAACUGCUGCAGUACAGGCUUACUUUUUGUCCUGCUGCAACCGGGUAGUCCGGCGUGGCCACCACCCAUAGAGGAGGAAAUGUUUCUGUGAAGGAGAGUGCAGAAAUAACAGGAAGUUGAGAGUGUCCAGCUUCAUGCCGACCACAGAGCCAGCCUUCCUGAUCAGUUUCUCCAGCCUGGAUGAGUCCCUCUUUGCUGUGCUGC